UGCACUGGGCACUCUGCCCCAGAAAGGAACCAGGGAGGUGCUUGUGAGUGUGUGGCUAACAAAAGGACAAGACACAGCAUCAGUGGCCCUGCCACCUCCACUGCAGCAGCCCAAGGAGAGCAACUGCUCCCAGGGCUGUAUUUAAUAGAAAAUGACUUGUCUUAUUAACAUAAGCCAAAUGGGUCACUGGCUGCCUGUCUGAGGGAAUUUCUGGCAUGAGAGAUUCUGUCCAUGGAGCUAAAUCAACAGGGAAAUGCAAGGCCAGUUACCUUCCCUCUGAUGCACAGAGCUUAAGGGAAACCGUGAAUUGUGGAAGGGUACACAGUGCCUGACAUAAGAGCAAAAGCUAACACAACAUUUUGCCUUCCUGAACUCAGCAUCUGGCAGCUUAAAAUUUCUGAAACAACAGUUUGUUGCACUUUGUGGUCCCUCACAGGAGAUGACGAUGCUGUUCUGAGCCAGGGCUGACUGAGCCCGGCAGGUUCCGGGCUCUCCCACUCCUCCCUGUUCAGUGGGUCUGGGAUGACAGCAGAAGAGGAUGACAGCACACUCACUAACCCUUUCUACCAGAACUUCUGGGAAAUGCUUGGCUGAGCAACAAUCGAGGGAGGGCAGGACGCGACUAAGCACAGAGCAUAUUGCUGUGUGAAAUCUUCCACAGGAAAAUUCAGGAAAUUCCCUGACAAUUUUGCUGCAUUAGUGCCUACUACAAUUUUUGAUACUGAAGAAGGGGCUGGGGACAGUGGGGGAUAGCACAGAGAAGCUCAUGCAGACAUUUCUUAGAGUACCUGUGAUGUGCCCAACAUAUUUCCUAAGGAGUCCUGAUGCCACACAGGAGAUGUCUGUCCAAGGGAAUUCUAUGGAAACCAGAGAAGGGGGACAUUUCUAUCACCUCAUUCCUCCUGCCAAAAAAGAAAAGGUAUUCUCCCCACCUACAUGGAAAAUCGGCAUUGGAAAAAUCUGUUUUCCAAGAAUUUUUCCAGUACAACAGCCUAGGAAGGUCUUUCCCCCUUUUUGUGCAUUCAUGCAGAAAUUUCUUCUCAAGAAGAGUUUAAGCUCUGGACAACCUCUGCAGGAUUGACACAGAAAGAAAAUAUGAGAGUAACAUAAACAGUGUGCAGGCAAAUGUGGGUGUAUUUUCAUUUUUCCAUUAAUUUACAUUUCAGUUUCCUGAAUUCAGAAAAUCCCCACAUUUUAGCAUAAUUUAUGAUGUCCUGAAUUGUAUAAAUCUUGGUGUUCUUUUUAUAGGAACAGAUUAUAUACUCUGUGCAGCUGACAGAGACAAAUGUCACACUUACUCCCUGGAGAAUUCUAAUCUCCCCCUCAAAUUUUAAGAUGUCAGUGAAAAACAAUCCCCCUGUUUCUGAAACCCAACCCCAAGGAGCAAUGAUACUACCAUCCAUAAAAAUAACUGGUCUGGGAUCCUUAGGGAUGUAUCGCUGACAGAAUUGUUCAGGUCAAGACAGUGCAGAUGUCCACAUCAUAAAUCUGGAAAGGUUAUGGUUCAUGUGUGGCAGAAAAUAGAGGAGAGAAGGUUCAUGCCCCAAAGAAGAACCAUCCUUUGGAGACCAUUUAGUGUCACAUAUUCCUCAAAACACUUGUAAUUAAUCUACACAACUCAUCACCAGCAAUGCAGUGAAGGUUUCCAUUCAUUCAAAAAUCUGCCAGACAAAUCCAUGAGAGGAAAACCAGGUGCAGACUCCUGAUUCCACACAGAACAAAGACAGCAGGACUGGGAUGUGCCUAAAGCAAGAGCACUUGAGGAAUAGGGAAGUGUUAAGGAAAAGCCUCAGCACAUCUGCCUGUCUCAUCAUUCCUGCGCUUUUCAGCCUCAGAUGUUAUCAAGGCUGAGCCACUGCCAGGACAGUGCUCUGGGCUGGCCUUUGUGCCCUGGCAUGUCUGUCACAAGAAGCCAGCAGGCAGCAGCAGGGCAGGGAUGUCCCCCUUGCCAAGAGGCCAUGGAGAGCCUGGAGCCCAGGGGCUGCUGCUCUGCAGCCAGGACAGCCUCUGUAUGCACUGCUUGUGCCUCUGGGCAGAGCACACUCCUGGCAGACAAAGCUCUCUGUGUGUUCAUGGAGGGCACAGAAAGCUGCUGCAGCCAGGGCCAGCUGGGGCCUCUCCUUGCCUGGGCAGAGCAGCUUGUGCUGUGCCCAGUGAUUCUGGCUCCGGGCUGAUGUGGGUUUCAAACUUGGCAAGUCAAGUUUGCAAAGUGCACGAGACAGAGCCUGGGAAGGCACCGUGCUGUAGGAUGGAUUUCUAAGGGUC